rnacentral:rRNA from 1 species
UGGGGGAUAUUGCACAAUGGGCGAAAGCCUGAUGCAGCGACGCCGCGUGGGGGAUGAAGGCCUUCGGGUUGUAAACUUCUUUUGCUCUGAACAAGGCAUGCCUUUGGGGUGUGUUGAGUGUAGGGGUUGAUUAGCGCCGGCUAACUACGUGCCAGCAGCCGCGGUAAUACGUAGGGCGCGAGCGUUGUCCGGAAUUAUUGGGCGUAAAGGGCUUGUAGGUGGCUGGUUGCGUCUGUCGUGAAAGCUCAUGGCUUAACUGUGGGUUUGCGGUGGGUACGGGCUGGCUUGAGUGCAGUAGGGGAGGCUGGAAUUCCUGGUGUAGCGGUGGAAUGCGCAGAUAUCAGGAGGAAUACCGGUGGCGAAGGCGGGUCUCUGGUCUGUUACUGACGCUGAGGAGCGAAAGCGUGGGGAGCGAACAGG